rnacentral:rRNA from 1 species
UACGUAGGGGGCAAGCGUUGUCCGGAUUUAUUGGGCGUAAAGAGCUCGUAGGCGGCUUGUCGCGUCGACUGUGAAAUCCCGCGGCUCAACUGCGGGUCUGCAGUCGAUACGGGCAGGCUAGAGUUCGGUAGGGGAGACUGGAAUUCCUGGUGUAGCGGUGAAAUGCGCAGAUAUCAGGAGGAACACCAAUGGCGAAGGCAGCUCGCUGGAACGGAACUGACGCUGAGGCGCGAAAGCGUGGGGAGCGAGCAGG